rnacentral:rRNA from 1 species
UGGGGAAUAUUGGGCAAUGGGCGAAAGCCUGACCCAGCAAUGCCGCGUGAAGGACGAAGGUCUUCGGAUUGUAAACUUCUUUGAUCAGGGACGAAAGCAAUGACGGUACCUGAAGAACAAGCCACGGCUAACUACGUGCCAGCAGCCGCGGUAAUACGUAGGUGGCAAGCGUUAUCCGGAUUUACUGGGUGUAAAGGGCGUGUAGGCGGAUUCUCAAGUUGGAUGUGAAACCCCUUGGCUAAACUGAGGGCUUGCAUUCAAAACUGAGGACCUUGAGUAUCAGAGGGGAAAGUGGAAUUCCUGGUGGAGCGGUAAAAUGCGUAGAGAUCAGGAGGAACACCGGUGGCGAAGGCGACUUUCUGGCUGACAACUGACGCUGAGGCGCGAAAGCGUGGGGAGCGAACAGG